GCCAGCCCCAGAGCUGCCCCAAGCCAAAGUACUGCCAGCCCCAGCCUUUGCUUCCAGUUGUUCCCCAUUGAUCUACAUCUCUGACCUUACGCUUGUUUUAACUUCAGAGUUACUUUUACUACUACUGUUGUCAGACGCUUACUGCAGUCAGCUGCAGGAUGCUGAAGGAAGAGAGCAGCUGCUUUCACACAGAAGGCUAUCACACUCUUUAGUAGACCAGCCUUCACAGGACUAAAGUUUUAAUUUCCCUUAAAAUGAUUUUAUCUUAAGUAGAAACAUUGACUAUACAUAAUCCUAAGCAUAAAAGACAACACACACACAAUAUUAAGAUAUAAAGCACAGAAACUUACAUUGCAUGCAUUAACCAACGGCCUCUCACAGACCGCAGGAGCAAGGCACCCCAUGAGCAUAUGUGAGCCAGGAACUGCACGUGUCCCCAGCACAGACAGCACUGUCCCACUGGAAUAGGAAAGAGAACAAGAACUCCUGUUGACAACACCCCAGCCAUCAUGGAAUCAGGAGCUUUAUCAGGAUACUACACGUGUCGAUACUGGUGGCCUUGUGCACGCAAAAUGCACCAAUGCCAACAGGAGCUCAUGAAGGAAGUGCCUUUGUAUCAGCAACUGCAUUGCACAGCAGUUGGUAAGGAGCAAUCAAAGCCUAGCAGAUAUGAGUAGGAAACCACUGGAAUACAAGGGACUGUAAACUCAAUCAUCACUAAGUUCUGAUUUUGAAGCCACUGAGAAGGGCCAUACUGUCAAGACAGAACAGACAGAUACCUACAGCUUCAUCAUUGCCAGCAGCAGACUGCUGGGUUGGCAUUUACUGAUCAAAAGAAACACUGCCUGAAGAAUUUCCUCUGUCCAAAGAUAAAAGGAGUACAAUACUUUCAUGGUAAAUUUGUUUGAACGUCUUCAGUUACUACUCUUCAGCCAUGAAAUAAGAAGCUGUUUGUAGAGAUCACAUUCCCAAACAAACGACGCUUUGGGAAAAGCCAGAUGCUCAAUGGUAGUUAAGUGACACAUCUUUGUUGUAGGUGUCACAGCAGUCCCAACCGGAAUAGAUUUUCCACAGUUCCCCCACACUGAAUUAGCUUCUGCAUCUAUUUAUCACUUAUUGGUCAGCAAGUGCAGCCUCUCCCCUAGAGCGAAUACGUAAAAGGUCUACAAAUGUUUGUUGCUUGUGCAAUAGGUUGUUCAGUGGGUCUACAAGGGCUCCUCCUCAUUAAAUACUAAUGCAUCAGCUGCUGCAAGGAUUAGGAAAUCUUAAGCUGAGUGUCAGCUUCUGGAGGCAGAUAAGUUUCUUUUAGUGAAUUCAAAAGGGUUUUGAAGCUGAGGGGUUGAUAUGUCUCUCAUGAAUGGCUCAUAUAACAUUUAAACCAGGAAAGUUUUCUUCCAUGUUUAGUAUUUGCAACAAUUUGAGCAGAUCUGAAGACUGUCUUUUGUUAUCUUAGUGCUAGGUCUUAGCUGGGGACUCCUAGUAGCCCCUCUGAAAAUCCCAUCAGUGAGAAACUCAAGCAGGCGUUGAGCUCAGGAAGGAUUUGGGGGAAUGAGCACCUGUCACUCGGCCUCACUGUUGUGACUAAAGGGAGCUUUGCUUCUAUGGUAUUUUCACAUAAAAUAUAUAAGCUCUUGGGUUCACAGCCUUUGAACUUCACCAAUAAGGCCAACUGCUUGAGUCACUUAAAACCUGCAGGAGAAGGCAGAAACAAUACCACCCCCUGCCAGCUGGAGACUUACUCAAUUCAUUUAUGCUUUAUUUCAGCACACUACAUUUCCAGCUAAGCCAGUGUACAGCAGAGGUCAUAAUUUGUUUUUCUUUUUUACAUCACUUUGAUUUUGACACCCUUCAGUCCCUCAGUUAAAGAUCUUAAGAGUUUCUCAGUGCCCACAACUACCCAUCUUCCAGCCUUCUAUCUUACUAAAAGCCCUGGUGUGUUUUUUGUUCUAAUAUGUCUAGGUCUGUCACACAGAAAAAAUAGCUGCCUAUAGAAAGUUCAGCUGAGAAUAAAACCAGAAUGAGUAGCUCAGUUAUCUAUGUGACUACUUCCUAUUGUCAUAACAAUCUAAUGUAUAUAUUUGAAUGCUUUCAUCAAGACCUGAAGGGGAUCUGUUAAGCUUUAAACAGAGCCAUGAUAUCUUCAACUGUGUAAAUUUAAACACUCCUGAUAUGUGAUCCCUUGCAAUCUCUGAUUGUAUCUGCAUGCUUAAACUUCUGCAGGAGAACCAGAAGCUGCUUGCAUGUACAAAUCCAGGUAGAAACGCUUUAAUUCUGUAAUCUGCCUUUCCAGACUCCCUGUUUCCAACCUUACUAAGUUUUACUGAUUUUAUUUUACCUUCCAUCUUCCUGUGUUUAGCUAGAAGAUGCAUUAAACACAAGA